GAUGAACGCUAGCGGCAGGCCUAACACAUGCAAGUCGAGGGAGGAGCUUUCGGGCUUCGACCGGCGUACGGGUGCGUAACGCGUAUACAAUCUGCCUUUCACAUAGGGAUAGCCCGAAGAAAUUUGGAUUAAUACCUAAUGGUAUAUAGGAGUGGCAUCACCUUUAUAUUAAAGCUGAGGCGGUGAAAGAUGAGUAUGCGUUCUAUUAGCUAGUUGGAGAGGUAACGGCUCCCCAAGGCGACGAUAGAUAGGGGUUCUGAGAGGGAUAUCCCCCACACUGGUACAGAGAUACGGACCAGACUCCUACGAGAGGCAGCAGUGAGGAAGAAUGGACAAUGGUCGGAAGACUGAUCCAGCCAUGCCGCGUGCAGGAAGACGGCCUUAUGGGUUGUAAACUGCUGGUGCAGGGGAAGAAGAAGGAGUACGUGUACUUUGAUAACGGUACUCUGCGAAUAAGCAUCGGCUAACUCCGG
rnacentral:rRNA from 1 species